AGAGUUUGAUCCUGGCUCAGAUUGAACGCUGGCGGCAUGCUUUACACAUGCAAGUCGGACGGCAGCAUGAAAGAGCUUGCUCUUUUGAUGGCGAGUGGCGAACGGGUGAGUAAUGCAUCGGAACGUACCGAGUAGUGGGGGAUAACUGUCCGAAAGGAUGGCUAAUACCGCAUAUUCUCUGAGGAGGAAAGCAGGGGACCUUAGGGCCUUGCGCUAUUUGAGCGGCCGAUGUCUGAUUAGCUAGUUGGUGGGGUAAGAGCCCACCAAGGCGACGAUCAGUAGCGGGUCUGAGAGGAUGAUCCGCCACACUGGGACUGAGACACGGCCCAGACUCCUACGGGAGGCAGCAGUGGGGAAUUUUGGACAAUGGGCGCAAGCCUGAUCCAGCCAUGCCGCGUGUAUGAAGAAGGCCUUCGGGUUGUAAAGUACUUUUGUCAGGGAAGAAAAGCCUGGGGAUAACACCCUCAGGUCAUGACGGUACCUGAAGAAUAAGCACCGGCUAACUACGUGCCAGCAGCCGCGGUAAUACGUAGGGUGCGAGCGUUAAUCGGAAUUACUGGGCGUAAAGCGAGCGCAGACGGUUAUUUAAGCAAGAUGUGAAAGCCCCGGGCUCAACCUGGGAACUGCGUUUUGAACUGGGUAACUAGAGUGUGUCAGAGGGGGGUAGAAUUCCACGUGUAGCAGUGAAAUGCGUAGAGAUGUGGAGGAAUACCGAUGGCGAAGGCAGCCCCCUGGGAUAACACUGACGUUCAUGCUCGAAAGCGUGGGUAGCAAACAGGAUUAGAUACCCUGGUAGUCCACGCCCUAAACGAUGUCAAUUAGCUGUUGGGGUACAUGAUGCCUUAGUAGCGUAGCUAACGCGUGAAAUUGACCGCCUGGGGAGUACGGUCGCAAGAUUAAAACUCAAAGGAAUUGACGGGGACCCGCACAAGCGGUGGAUGAUGUGGAUUAAUUCGAUGCAACGCGAAGAACCUUACCUGGUCUUGACAUGUACGGAAUCUCUUAGAGAUAGGAGAGUGCCUUCGGGAGCCGUAACACAGGUGCUGCAUGGCUGUCGUCAGCUCGUGUCGUGAGAUGUUGGGUUAAGUCCCGCAACGAGCGCAACCCUUGCCAUUAGUUGCCAUCAUUAAGUUGGGCACUCUAAUGGGACUGCCGGUGACAAACCGGAGGAAGGUGGGGAUGACGUCAAGUCCUCAUGGCCCUUAUGACCAGGGCUUCACACGUCAUACAAUGGUCGGUACAGAGGGUAGCCAAGCCGCGAGGUGGAGCCAAUCCCAGAAAAUCGAUCGUAGUCCGGAUUGCACUCUGCAACUCGAGUGCAUGAAGUCGGAAUCGCUAGUAAUCGCAGGUCAGCAUACUGCGGUGAAUACGUUCCCGGGUCUUGUACACACCGCCCGUCACACCAUGGGAGUGGGGGAUACCAGAAUUGGGUAGGGUAACCUUAGGGAGCCCGCUUAACACGGUAUGCUUCAUGACUGGGGUGAAGUCGUAACAAGGUAACC
rnacentral:rRNA from 1 species